GUUUCAAGUUCCAACAAAACAUCUUAAA
rnacentral:sRNA from 1 species